rnacentral:rRNA from 1 species
UGCGCAGGCGGUUCAGCAAGCUCGGUGUUAAAUACCCCGGCCCAACCGGGGGGCUGUGCUGAGAACUGCUGGGCUUGAGUUCAGGAGGGGAAGCUGGAAUUCCUGGUGUAGGGGUGAAAUCUGUAGAGAUCAGGAAGAACACCGGUGGCGAAGGCGAGCUUCUGGCCAUGGACUGACGCUGAGGCACGAAAGCGUGGGGAGCGAACA